rnacentral:rRNA from 1 species
AACGAACGCUGGCGGCAGGCCUAACACAUGCAAGUCGAGCGCCCGUAGCGAAUACGGGAGCGGCAGACGGGUGAGUAACACGUGGGAACGUGCCCAAAGGUACGGAACGAACUCCGGGAAACUGGAGCUAAUACCGUAUGUGCCCGAAAGGGAAGAUUUAUCGCCUUUGGAUCGGCCCGCGUCUGAUUAGCUAGUUGGUGAGGUAAUGGCUCACCAAGGCGACGAUCAGUAGCUGGCUGAGAGGGAU